rnacentral:rRNA from 1 species
GACGAACGCUGGCGGCGUGCCUAAUACAUGCAAGUCGAACGCUUCUUUCCUCCCGAGUGCUUGCACUCAAUUGGAAAGAGGAGUGGCGGACGGGUGAGUAACACGUGGGUAACCUACCCAUCAGAGGGGGAUAACACUUGGAAACAGGUGCUAAUACCGCAUAACAGUUUAUGCCGCAUGGCAUAAGAGUGAAAGGCGCUUUCGGGUGUCGCUGAUGGAUGGACCCGCGGUGCAUUAGCUAGUUGGUGAGGUAACGGCUCACCAAGGCCACGAUGCAUAGCCGACCUGAGAGGGUGAUCGGCCACACUGGGACUGAGACACGGCCCAGACUCCUACGGGAGGCAGCAGUAGGGAAUCUUCGGCAAUGGACUAAAGUCUGACCGAGCAACGCCGCGUGAGUGAAGAAGGUUUUCGGAUCGUAAAACUCUGUUGUUAGAGAAGAACAAGGACGUUAGUAACUGAACGUCCCCUGACGGUAUCUAACCAGAAAGCCACGGCUAACUACGUG